GCUACGGGUGGCAGCAGUGAGGAAUAUUGGUCAAUGGGCGUAAGCCUGAACCAGCCAAGUCGCGUGAGGGAUGAAGGUUCUAUGGAUCGUAAACCUCUUUUAUAAGGGAAUAAAGUGCGGGACGUGUCCCGUUUUGUAUGUACCUUCUGAAUAAGGAUCGGCUAACUCCGUGCCAGCAGCCACGGUAAUACGGAGGAUCCGAUCGUUAUCCGGAUUUAUUGGGUUUAAAGGGUGCGUAGGCGGCCUUUGAAGUCAGCGGGGAAAGUCUGUGGGUCAACCAUAGAAUUGUGGUGGAAACUGGGAGGCUUGAGUAUGUUUGAGGCAGGCGGAAUGAGUGGUGUAGCGGUGAAAUGCUUAGAUAUCACGCAGAACCCCGAUUGCGAAGGCAGCCUGCCAAGCCAUGACUGACGCUGAUGCACGAAAGCGUGGGGAUCAAACAGGAUUAGAGACCCGGGUAGUC
rnacentral:rRNA from 1 species